rnacentral:rRNA from 1 species
UACAGGGGGUGCAAACGUUGCUCGGAAUUAUUGGGCGUAACGCGCGCGUAGGCGGCUACUUAAGUCGGAUGUGAAAGCCCCUGGCUCAACUGGGGAAGUGCACCCGAAACUGAGUGGCUUGAGUACUAAAGAGGGUCGCGGAAUUCCCGGUGUAGAGGUGAAAUUCGUAGAUAUCGGGAGGAACACCGGUGGCGAAGGCGGCGACCUGGGUAGAUACUGACGCUGAGGCGCGAAAGCGUGGGGAGCAAACAGG